rnacentral:rRNA from 1 species
GCGAGCGGCGGAUGGGUGAGUAACACGUGGGGAACCUGCCCCUAAGUCUGGGAUACCAUUUGGAAACAGGUGCUAAUACCGGAUAAUAAAGCAGAUCGCAUGAUCAGCUUUUGAAAGGCGGCGUAAGCUGUCGCUAAGGGAUGGCCCCGCGGUGCAUUAGCUAGUUGGUAAGGUAACGGCUUACCAAGGCGACGAUGCAUAGCCGAGUUGAGAGACUGAUCGGCCACAUUGGGACUGAGACACGGCCCAAACUCCUACGGGAGGCAGCAGUAGGGAAUCUUCCACAAUGGACGCAAGUCUGAUGGAGCAACGCCGCGUGAGUGAAGAAGGUUUUCGGAUCGUAAAGCUCUGUUGUUGGUGAAGAAGGAUAGAGGUAGUAACUGGCCUUUAUUUGACGGUAAUCAACCAGAAAGUCACGGCUAACUACGUGCCAGCAGCCGCGGUAAUACGUAGGUGGCAAGCGUUGUCCGGAUUUAUUGGGCGUAAAGCGAGCGCAGGCGGAAAAAUAAGCCUAAUGUGAAAGCCCUCGGCUUAACCGAGGAACUGCAUCGGAAACUGUUUUUCUUGAGUGCAGAAGAGGAGAGUGGAACUCCAUGUGUAGCGGUGGAAUGCGUAGAUAUAUGGAAGAACACCAGUGGCGAAGGCGGCUCUCUGGUCUGCAACUGACGCUGAGGCUCGAAAGCAUGGGUAGCGAACAGGAUUAGAUACCCUGGUAGUCCAUGCCGUAAACGAUGAGUGCUAAGUGUUGGGAGGUUUCCGCCUCUCAGUGCUGCAGCUAACGCAUUAAGCACUCCGCCUGGGGAGUACGACCGCAAGGUUGAAACUCAAAGGAAUUGACGGGGGCCCGCAC